rnacentral:rRNA from 1 species
AUUGAACGCUGGCGGCAUGCCUUACACAUGCAAGUCGAACGGUAACAGGCCGCAAGGUGCUGACGAGUGGCGAACGGGUGAGUAAUACAUCGGAACGUGCCCGAUCGUGGGGGAUAACGCAGCGAAAGCUGUGCUAAUACCGCAUACGAUCUACGGAUGAAAGCGGGGGAUCGCAAGACCUCGCGCGGACGGAGCGGCCGAUGGCAGAUUAGGUAGUUGGUGGGGUAAAGGCCUACCAAGCCGACGAUCUGUAGCUGGUCUGAGAGGACGACCAGCCACACUGGGACUGAGACACGGCCCAGACUCCUACGGGAGGCAGCAGAGGGGAAUUUUGGACAAUGGGCGCAAGCCUGAUCCAGCCAUGCCGCGUGCAGGAUGAAGGCCUUCGGGUUGUAAACUGCUUUUGUACGGAACGAAAAGGUUUCUUUUAAUACAGGGAACUGAUGACGGUACCGUAAGAAUAAGCACCGGCUAACUACGUGCCAGCCGCCGCGGUAAAAC